CUUGGGCUUCAGUUUUUGUUGGCUCUAUUUUUACACAUCCAGGCAACCAUCUGUUAAGAAAACGUUCAGCUUGGAUAUGGCAUCAGUUCCGGAAGACCAGGCCAACCCAUCUCCUCUAAAGCUUCCUCCCAAAAGCUGAUGCCUUACUCAUCCAGCCUGCUGAAGAUUCUCUGUAAAACCUCAAAAUCUUUGGGCUCCUCACCAUCUAAUGAAGAUACGCCAUUUGGCUCCCUCUUUUGUCAGCUAUAUUCAUCCGAUGGACUUACAGACAGGGGGGCAAAGAUUUAGAUAAUAUCACAAGGCCUCUAUUUACUACUCCUGUAAUGAAAAAACAUGUUUGCCAUCUUUGGCUCUCAACUCUGUUUCCAUAAAUGUGUGCAUUAAGUUAUUUGUCAAGUUUUAACAAAUGGGGUAUAAAGUCAGGUAAUUAGUUUUCCUCUAGAUGUAUUUGAAGUUACACAGUAAAGAGAAAAAUACAUAAUUUACAGGUUGUGUUGAGGUGAAAGCUAUAAGGAUUGUCCUC
rnacentral:lncRNA from 15 species